rnacentral:rRNA from 1 species
GUUGAACGCUGGCGGCGGGCCUAAUACAUGCAAGUCGAACGGUCAGAGGAGGAAGCUUGCUUCUUUGCUGUCGCGUCGCGGGGGGGAGUGACAUGUCUGGAACCCUCCUUGAUGGCUGGGGUAACUUCGUGAAACCGGUACUAAUACCCGCUAAUCGUUGCAAGCGCAUGGUGCGGGAGCUUAGGGCGGUUUUCCUUUGGCUUUUCGCUGGUGCCACUCGGCAUUAGCUAGUAGGUAAGGUAACGUCUCACCCAGGCAACGAUUCGUAGCUGAUCUGAGAGGAUGACCAGCCACACUGGAACUGAGACACGGUCCAGACUCCUACGGGAGGCAGCAGUAGGGAAUAUUGCGCAAUGGGCGCAAGCCUGAUGCAGCAAUGCCGCGUGAAUGAUGAAGGCCUUCGGGUUGUAAAAUACUGUUAUCAGGGAAGAACAAAUGUGAAAGUAAAUCUGCACGUAUUGACGUUACCCACACAGAAAGCACCGGCUAACUACGUG